rnacentral:rRNA from 1 species
AUACGAAAGGUGCAAGCGUUGUUCGGAUUUACUGGGCGUAAAGAGAGUGUAGGUUGUUUAUUAAGUCGGAUGUGAAUUCCCGGGGCUCAACCUCGGAACUGCAUUCGAUACUGGUAGACUCGAGUUCGGGAGGGGUAAGCGGAAUUCCGUGUGUAGCAGUGAAAUGCGUAGAUAUACGGAGGAACACCUGAGGCGAAGGCGGCUUACUGGACCGAUACUGACACUGCGACUCGAAAGCGUGGGUAGCAAACAGGAUUAGAUACCCUAGUAGUCC